CAGCUAUGGGAGGACGAGUAAGGGGCAAAGACAACAGACUCCUGUGUCUUCGAGUCCCAGCUGCACUGACACUGAAGAGCAGGGCAGUGUGGGAUGUGGGUCUCAGUGAGUGGGGACAGCACCUGGGGCAGUGCAUCAUACAGGGGAGAGGGCUCCCCCAUGUUUGUAGUCGCUGCACUUCACAUGGAAAAUGCUGUUAGCAAACUCUCAUGAGUUGUGUGUGUGUAUUGAAUAACACAGAGCAGAUGCUGGGAGGACAAUAGUAGAGAUGUAAAGAGAGAAGAUGAAUAAAAAGGCAUCUACUUGGAGACUGUCCAAGAAACCCAUGUGGCAGGAUAGGGAACCAAAAAUGAAAGAACGAAAGCAGAGCAAAUAGAGAAACCACAAAACAAUAAAACAUUGAGUUUAAAUGCUUACAUGUAAAUUGUAAAGAGACAUGUUCUAUCUCUCCCAAUUAAUGAUGAGACCUGAAUAAUAAAUUUCCCAAGUAUAUGAAGUCCAGAUGGAUGCAAUUUUAGUAUUAUGUUUAGGUAAACGUAAAGGAACUGAAAAGCAAAAUCCUUUCACAUACUGACCAAAGGGGAGGCUGCCGGGUGUAAGAGAUCAGAGAAAAUUCAGGAAAAUUAAAUUUACUCUGGAUAAGGAGGGACAUUAUAUAGCCACAGUUAAGUCAUCAAAUGGCGCCUGCCAAUCUUAAAUGUCACUGUUUACACAGAACAAACUUCCUAAUUUAUUUAUUUAUUUUAUUUAUAAACUGAUUGUCCCAUUAUCUCUGGUUUCUUAUUAACUCUUGUUUUCUUUUCUUUUUAAAUUAAAAAUUUCCACCUCCUCUCCUUCUCCCAUUUACCUCCCCCUCCUCCUACUCCCAUUCUCCCUUUCUCUCCAGUCUAAAGAGCAGUCAGGGUUCCCUGACCUGUGGGAAGUCCAAGGUCCUCUCCCCUCCAUGCAGGUCUAGGAAGGUGAGCAUCCAAACAGACUAGGCUCCCACAAAGCCAGUCCAUGCAGUAGAUUCAAAACCCAGUGCCAUUGUCCUUGGCUUCUCAGUCAGCCCUCAUUGUCAGCCACGUUCAGAGAGUCCGGACAGAAAUAGAAAACACUAUCCUGAGUGAGGUAACCCAGACCCAAAAAGAUGAAUAUGAACCUUCUGGUGAAGGAUGGAUGACAUGGCGAUGGCAAUGGCGAUGGAUGGAGACAGAGACAGAGACCCACACUGGAGCACCGGACUGAGCUCCCAAAGUCCAAAUGAGGAGCAGAAGGAGAAAGAACAUGAGCAAGGAAGUCAGGACCUUGAGAUUGCGCCCACCCACUGAGACGGCAGGGCUGAUCUAAUGGGAGCUCAGGAAGGCCAGCUGGACUGGGACUGAUGGAGCAUGUGAUCAAACUUCCCAAUUUAAUUAGGGAAGAGCUUCCAGAACUGAGUGGAGAGUGGAGAAACUCUCCCAAGGGACCUGGACACUUGCUUGUGACUUUCUUACUUCCUGUGUGAAGAUGAUUUAUGGUCUGGCUGCCUUCCCAUUCCCAGUGGAGAUGCUGAAGGAAAGCAGUUACAUGCCAAAGAUAGGAUUGUGGUAGACAAUCCAGACUGUUGUUUUGUCAACCCAGAGGGUGGUUCAGAUCUGCCUCUUCCGGUCCUCAUGGCAUCUCCAGAAUACAGAACCAUGGGAACAGGCCAGCAUGUGCCUAGAGAGACAACAUGGACCAUCCAUGGGAAGAUAACUGGACAUGGGCUAACAAUCAUCAACCUAGCUCCUUCCUCCAGGGACAUGUGAAGAGAUUCCUGUGUGAAGAUGAUGUAUGUAUGGUCUGACUGCCUUCCCAUUACCCCCUGGAUGAGUCUCAUUCUCCUGUUACAAUGCCUUCACUAUCAUAACAAACUUUAUCCUGUGGAUGUAUCAGGCAAAACAAAUUCUUUUCUUCUCUAAGUCAGUGAUUCAGAGGACCAAAAUAUUCUAUCUCAGGAAAAUAAAUGGAAGGAAUGUAAUUACUAAAAUGCUUUCUGCUUGUCAAACUUAAGAGGUGAAUUUGAAAGAUUAAUUUUAGAAUCAGCCUGUGAGUAGAGCUCACUUUCUAUGAUUUCUGGGCCUUUGCCUAUAUAAAGUCAUAUAUGUUGUCUGUAUUGAUAUGUAUUUUGUCUCUAUUACAUGAGGUAAUUAAUAAAAUCUUUUUUAUUGUAAAUAAAGUUAUGAUUUGAUAUUUUAACAUCUAGCUUGGUGUACCUAUUGUAAUAUUAUAAGAUAAAACUAGUGUCAGAAAAGUGCAGAGUUAGGUUUUAGGGUCUCUGUUUCAUUGUAUCAUUAAAAAAAUAUUUGUGUUUUCAAUAGAAAAUAUUCUUUUUUCCUUUUCUACUUCUAUUUUUAUUUUUUUAUUUUUUAGUGAUUUUUAUUGAUCCCUACAUUUUUCUCUACUCCCUCCCCUGACUCUCCCCUCCUCUUCAGUGCACUCUAAGGUCCCAUGCUCCGAAUUUACUCAGGAGAUCUUGUCUUUUUAUACUACCCAUGUAGAUUGGAUCUAUGUAUGUCUCUCGUAGGGUCCUCAUUGUUGUCUAGGUUCUCUGAGAUUGUGAUUUGCGGGCUGGUUUUCUUUGCUUUAUGUUUAAAAACCACUUAUAAAUAAGUAAUGCGUUAAUUGUCUUUCUGGGACUGGGUCACCUCACUCAAAAUGAUGUUUUCUAGCUCCAUUCAUUUGUCUGUAGAAAUUCAAGAUGUCGUUAUUUUCUUCUGCUGUGUAGUACUCCAUUGUGUAGAUGUACCACAGUUUUCUUAUUCAUUCUUUGGUCGAGGGGCAUUUAGGUUGCUGAUCCCUUCCAAUUUUUGUUUGUCUUUUCCUCUAUUUCUUUAAAGGAAUUUCUCAUUUCCUCUUUAUGAGUUUCAAACAUUCUCAUGAAGCUAUUUUUUUCCUACUUCAUUUAUGUUUGGUUGUCCAAGUCUUGCUGUUGUAGAGUCUUUAUGUUUUAUUGGUGUUGUGUUACUCUUUGUGGUGUUGCAUG